AGUGUAUUACUUUGCUGUCUUACAAUGACGAAAAUGUGCUAAUUAAACUUGUAUAUAAUUUAUAAUUCCUGUACUUGUGUCAAUCAUAUAUAAAGUUUUAUUUAUUGAGGUUUCAAAUCUGUUGUUAGUUAUUUAACAGAUAUAAAAUAACUUCAUAAGGUAUGCCCGUGCCAUGUGCAGGAUGCCCUUGUAAAUUGAAAUGUUCCUAAUUAAGGUAAAUAAAUAUGUCAGUAAUUGGACUGUGUUUGGCAUGCCCAGGCUUUGUCCAGGGUACCUUUGUACUUUGAAAUUUUCCUAUUUGAAAUUUAAAAAAAAUAGCCACUGGACUGUUUAUGGUAUGCGAAUGCCAAUCCUUAAAUUAGAAUCAUUAAACAUGC
rnacentral:lncRNA from 1 species